rnacentral:pre_miRNA from 1 species
AGUGGAAAUGCUGAGUCAUAUGGUAACUUAACUGUUUAAGAAACUGCUAGGCUGUUUUCCAAAGUAACUGUAUCAUUUAUAGUCCCUCCAGCACU